rnacentral:misc_RNA from 1 species
GAUGAAGAACGUAGCGAAAUGCGAUAAGUAAUGUGAAUUGCAGAAUUCAGUGAAUCAUCGAAUCUUUGAACGCACAUUGCGCCCGCCAGUAUUCUGGCGGGCAUGCCUGUUCGAGCGUCAUUUCAACCAUCAAGCCCCAGGCUUGUGUUGGGGACCUGCGGCUGCCGCAGGCCCUGAAAACCAGUGGCGGGCUCGCUGUCACACCGGGCGUAGUAGAUUUUAUCUCGCUCAGGGCGUGCUGCGGGUUCCGGCCGUUAAAAAGCCUUUUUUACCCAAGGUUGACCUCGGAUCAGGUAGGAAGACCCGCUGAACUUAAGCAUAUCAAUAAGCCGAGGA